rnacentral:rRNA from 1 species
UACGUAGGUGGCAAGCGUUGUUCGGAAUUAUUGGGCGUAAAGGGCGCGUAGGCGGGUCAUCAAGUCCGGGGUGAAAUCCCACGGCCCAACCGUGGAAGUGCCUUGGAUACUGGGGACCUCGAGGGGGAUAGGGGCGUGCGGAACUCAGGGUGGAGCGGUGAAAUGCGUAGAUAUCCUGAGGAACACCGGUGGCGAAAGCGGCGCGCUGGAUCCCUUCUGACGCUGAGGCGCGAAAGCCAGGGGAGCAAACGGG